rnacentral:rRNA from 1 species
GACGAACGCUGGCGGCGUGCUUAACACAUGCAAGUCGAACGAAGUGGCGAACGGGUGAGUAACGCGUAAUCAACCUGCCCUUCAGAGGGGGACACCAGUUGGAAACGACUGCUAAUACCGCAUACUGAAGGAGGGGUUUGCGUCGGAUUAGCUAGUUGGAGGGGGAACGGCCCACCAAGGCGAUGGUCAGUAGCCGGGCGGGGAGGAAGAACGGGCACAAUGGGAAUGAGACACGGCCCAGACUUCUUCGGGGGGCAGCAGUGGGGAAACUUCCGAAAUGGACGAAAGUCUGACGAAGCAAAGCCGCGUGAGUGAUGACGGCCUUCGGGUUGUAAAGCUAUGUUAAUCGGGACGCGUUACCGGAAGAGAAAGCAACGGCUAACUACGUGCCAGCAGCCGCGGUAAUUC